rnacentral:misc_RNA from 1 species
UCCGAGUUGACCCCGGCAGUCUCCUACGAGUCCCCGGCAUUACCCGCUGGCAACAUAGGAUAAGGGUUGCGCUCGUUGCGGGACUUAACCCAACAUCUCACGUCACGAGCUGACGACAGUCAUGCAGCACCUGUGUUCCUCCCACCCGAAGUGAAGGAUUCCAUCUCUGGAAUCCACAGAGGACAUGUCAAGGGCUGGUAAGGUUCUUCGCGUUGCUUCGAAUUGAACCACAUGCUCCACCGCUUGUGCGGGCCCCCGUCAAUUCCUUUGAGUUUUAGCCUUGCGGCCGUACUCCCCAGGCGGGGCACUUAGUGCGUUAGCGACGGCACGGGAGGAGUCGACACCUCCCACACCUAGUACCCAUCGUUUACGGCGUGGACUAC